CCUACGGGAGUCAGCCGUGAGGAAUAUUGGUCAAUGGGCGGAAGCCUGAACCAGCCAAGUAGCGUGCGGGAUGAAGGCCCUACGGGUCGUAAACCGCUUUUGCACGGGGAUAACACCCUCCACUUGUGGAGGUCUGCAGGUACCGUGCGAAUAAGGGCCGGCUAAUUCCGUGCCAGCAGCCGCGGUAAUACGGAAGGCACGAGCGUUAUCCGGAUUCCUUGGGCUAAAAGGGAGCGUAGGCUGGCUUCCAAGUCAGCUGUAAAAUCGCGCGGCUCAACCGCGCCCCGCAGUUGAAACUGGACGACUUGAGUUCACAACAGGCAGGCGGAAUUCGUGGUGUAGCGGUGAAAUGCAUAGAUAUCACGAGGAACCCCGAUUGCGAAGGCAGCCUGCCGGGGUGCGACUGACGCUGAGGCUCGAAGGUGCGGGUAUCAAACAGGAUUAGAUACCCGGGUAGUC
rnacentral:rRNA from 1 species